rnacentral:rRNA from 1 species
GACGAACGCUGGCGGCGGGCUUAACACAUGCAAGUCGAACGGAAAGGCCCUGCUUGCGUGGGGUUCUCGAGUGGCGAACGGGUGAGUAACACGUAAGUAACCUGCCCUAGAUUUUGGGAUGACUUCAGGAAACUGGGGCUAAUACAGGAUAGGAGCCCCCGCUCCAGGGAGGGCGUUGGAAAUUUGCGGCGGUUGGGGUUGGACUCGCGGCUUAUCAGUUUGUUGGUGGGGGAGGGGCUUACCAAGGCUUUGACGGAUAGCCGGCCUUAGAGGGGGGCCGGCCACCUUGGGACUACGAUACGGCCCAGACUGCUACGUUGGACAACGGUGGGGAAUAUUGUACAGUGGGCGCACGCCUGAUGCAGCAACGCCGCGGUCGGGAUGACGUCCUUCGGGUAGUAAACCGCAUUCGCCUGUGACGACGCGUGAGUGACGGUAAUCGGUAAAGAAGCACCGGCUAACUACGUG